UACGUAGGGACCAAGCGUUGUUCGGAUUUACUGGGCGUAAAGGGCGCGUAGGCGGCGAAUCAAGUCAGCUGUGAAAUCUCCGAGCUUAACUCGGAACGGUCAGCUGAUACUGUUUUGCUAGAGUGCAGAAAGGGCAACCGGAAUUCUUGGUGUAGCGGUGAAAUGCGUAGAUAUCUGGAAGAACACCAGUGGCGAAGGCGGUCAACUGGCCCAUAACUGACGCUGAGGCACGAAAGCGUGGGUAGCGAACAGG
rnacentral:rRNA from 1 species